CAACAGCAGCAGCAACGACAACAAAAGCCUCUGCAGCUGCAUUAACCUUAUUUUGUUGUCCCACCAGAUUGUCUUCCUGAUUAACGGGCUGUUUCUAGCAAGUGCAUGGAUUUGUGAGUCUGUGAGCGAGCCCCAAAAGGGAGAUGUAAGAUGGCUGCAGUAUUGGCUCAAUAUGAAACAUGCCCAUAGGAGAGAUUCAUUUGGGCAACAACCAGAUUGACUAACAUGUGCAAAAAGCCCAAGUUGGAAAGAUUCCUUAAACUGUGUAAAGGACGGACUCAAAUUAUCUGGGGGUGUUUCGCUUCUCCCUGAAGCCCACAUCCAUCACCCGCCCUUAUACAUUUCCUAAUAUCAAAGAGGUUAUU